UAUGUCCUUAAUUUGCAGGAGAGUCAUUGCCUACAAGAACUCUGUUGUGCUUUUCAAAAUCCUCUUAAAACAGAAGGCAUAAACUAAGAAAGCAAGGUUUCCAUGUGUUCUCCCUGUCUUCUAGCUUUUAAUGCUGCUCCCCGCUUACUCUCUUCCCUGGUCCAAAUGUCAGCAGUUCCAAGGGUCAUUAAGCCCUCUGACACACUCCUUGCUCUGUCCUUAUUCUUGUUUUUUUUAAGUCAAAUGUAUUAAGGUAUUUUACAAAUAGUAAAAUUCAUCCUUUUUAAUGGACAUUUUUAUGUAUUUCAACAAAGGCAUACAACUACUGCUAUCAAACAGAACAGUUUUGUCUGCCCAGGACAUUCCCUCAAGCCCCUUUUGUGGUCACCUUCUUCCCCGGUCCUGACCCCCAGACAACCACUAAUCUUCCUGUCCCUUUGUUUUGCCUCUUCCAGAAUGUCCUAUAAAUAUGUAUCACAUGUAGCCUUUUGAGCCUGGCUUUUCUAAGAAGACUAAUGCAUUGGAGAGUCAUCCGUGUUCCUUAUGGUUGCUGAGCGGUGUUCCACUGUGCAGAUGUUUAUGCAGUUAUCAGAUGGAGUGUCUCCUGCCUCUUGUGCAUGCUGUGACAUGUCAGGAUGUGUAGAGCAUUGUACGUGGUGCCCAGUAAGGAUGAAUAGAUGUGUCAGCUGUAAUUGGUUAUCAGUGUGAUAAAGGUUGUGCCAGCGCUGGCCCUCAGGCAGAUCCAGCCCCAUGAAGCUUUCUAGACACAGCCCCGAGGAGCCUGCCCUCGCUUACAGGUGUUGCCCACUGUCAUUAAUGUGCGAGUUUGUGGGACACAGUGAGGUGGUCCUCUCUCUGCAACAGUGACCCUAUCAGGCUGUAUCCCUCAGCAGCACAGGAGUGUAACUGUAGGUGAGGCAUUUCAGGUCUACCAUUGUGUCUUGAGACCAGCUUUGUGGCAAGUUAAAACCAAGAUACAGUUUCUUCCCGGAAGCUUAGCCUAAGGGAAGUAAGAGAGAGACAGAGGAGCAAAAGCCUCAAAAGAAGCUUACACUGGUAUUCUAAUAGAAGCAAAGAAGAACAACCUAAGGGCCUCCCUGAGUAUAAUAUGAUGCACCAAUUAAACAUGAUCAUUUUAGACAAGUCCUGGAUGACAUCACUUGCAUGUAAAAUCUGAAAAGCCAAACAUAUAGAAACAGAGGCUAGCAUGGCGGUCGCUGAGGGCAGGGAGAGGGAAGGGAAGAGACUGGUCAAAGGUUACAAACUUCCAGUUUUAAGGUGAGUAAGUUGUGGGGAUCUCAUGUACGGCCUGGGGAUCAUAUUUAACAAUACCGUAUUAUGUAGGAAUGCAAGCUGGUGCAGCCACUCUGGAAAACAAUAUGGAAAAAACUAAAAAUAGA